AGACCGAUAGCGAACAAGUACCGUGAGGGAAAGAUGAAAAGCACUUUGGAAAGAGAGUUAAACAGUACGUGAAAUUGCUGAAAGGGAAACGCUUGAAGUCAGUCGCGUUUGCUAGGACUCAGCCUGGUUUCGGCCUGGUGCACUUCCUAGUAAACGGGCCAGCAUCACUUUUGGCCGCGGGAAAAAGGUUAGAGGAAUGUGGCACCCUCGGGUGUGUUAUAGCCUCUAGCUGUAUACCGUGGCUGGGAGUGAGGAACUCAGCACGCCUCUGGCGGGGCUUCGGCCACCUUCGUGCUUAGGAUGCUGGCGUAAUGGCUUUAAACGACCCGUCUUGAAACACGGACCAAG
rnacentral:rRNA from 1 species